UACGUAGGGUGCAAGCGUUGUCCGGAAUUAUUGGGCGUAAAGAGCUCGUAGGCGGUUUGUCGCGUCUGGUGUGAAAACUCAAGGCUCAACCUUGAGCUUGCAUUGGGUACGGGCAGACUAGAGUGUGGUAGGGGUGACUGGAAUUCCUGGUGUAGCGGUGGAAUGCGCAGAUAUCAGGAGGAACACCGAUGGCGAAGGCAGGUCACUGGGCCACUACUGACGCUGAGGAGCGAAAGCAUGGGGAGCGAACAGG
rnacentral:rRNA from 1 species